AUUGAACGCUGGCGGCAGGCCUAACACAUGCAAGUCGAGCGGAGCGGCGGACGGGUGAGUAAUGCCUAGGAAUCUGCCUGGUAGUGGGGGAUAACGUCCGGAAACGGGCGCUAAUACCGCAUACUAUCAGAUGAGCCUACGUCGGAUUCGCGAGUUGGUGGGGUAAAGGCCUACCAAGGCGACGAUCCGUAACGGGUCUGAGAGGAUGAUCAGUCACACUGGAACUGAGACACGGUCCAGAGUCCUACGGUAGUCAGCAGUGGGGAAGAUGGGACAAUGGGCGAAAUCCUGAUCCAGCCAUGCCGCGUGUGUGAAGAAGGUCUUCGGAUUGUAAAGCACUUGAAGUUGGGAGGCGUUACCAACAGAAGAAGCACCGGCGAACUUCGUGCCAGCAGCCGCGGUAAUAC
rnacentral:rRNA from 1 species